UACGUAGGGGGCAAGCGUUGUCCGGAAUCACUGGGCGUAAAGGGCGCGUAGGUGGCGGGAUAAGCGUGUGGUGAAAGCCCGGGGCUCAACCCCGUGUCUGCCAUGCGGACUGUCUUGCUCGAGCGUAGUAGAGGCAGGUGGAAUUCCGGGUGUAGCGGUGGAAUGCGUAGAGAUCCGGAAGAACACCGGUGGCGAAGGCGGCCUGCUGGGCUACUGCUGACACUGAGGCGCGACAGCGUGGGGAGCAAACAGG
rnacentral:rRNA from 1 species